rnacentral:lncRNA from 1 species
CAGCCUUGGGAAGCCUAAACUUCUACAGACCCUUAAGACACAGCCAAGGGGUGAGGAGGGCCUUGGUGCCAAGGCAGACACUGCAGAGUGCACAGGGCAAGACCCGAGAGACUCCAGCUGGUCUGAGAGGGGUGCUGGCCAUGAGGACACCCCUCAGAAAGGACAGAUUCCAAGACGGAGCUCUUGAUGCAUUCCAAGAGCAGCCUCUCUAGACGAGAGUUGCCCAGGGCCCCGAGACCUGAGUGGCAUUCUGUGGCCUGGGACAUGGCUGGGCUCUUCCAAAUGAUUUCCCCAAGAGAGGGGCGCUGGCCAUGGACUCUCCUCCAGCGGGCUUUGUUGGAGCCCCCCAAAAGGGGAUCAUAAGCAAAGAGGUCUAAAAACCAUCUGUGGCUUCUAAAUAGAGCGUUUUGGAUUGCUGAAGCCUUUCCUCUCCCAUAAAGCUUUCUCCAGAGAGACCAGAAGACAGUAGCAUUUAGCCCUGCUUCACCAGAAGGGGCAUAGCUAUUAGGGAGGUGGUAGGAGUGAUGGAGGUGAUGGUG